GUGCCAGCAGCCGCGGUAAUACGUAGGGGGCGAGCGUUGCCCGAAUUUACUGGGCGUAAAGCGCACGUAGGCGGCUUCGUAAGUCUGGUGUGAAAUCUCCCGGCUCAACCGGGAGGCUGCACUGGAUACUUACGGGCUCGAGGGCGGGAGAGGAGAUUGGAAUUCCCGGUGUAGCGGUGAAAUGCAUUGAUAUCGGGAGGAACACCAGUGGCGAAGGCGGAUCUCUGGCCUGCUUCUGACGCUGAGGUGCGAAAGCUGGGGGAGCGAAAGGGAUUAGAUACCCCUGUAGUCCCAGCCCUAAACGAUGGGCGCUAGGUGUUGGGGGCGAAGCCCUCAGUGCCGCAGCUAACGCAUUAAGCGCCCCGCCUGGGGAGUACGGCCGCAAGGUUGAAACUCAAAGGAAUUGACGGGGGCCCGCACAAGCGGUGGAGCAUGUGGAUUAAUUCGAUACUAACCGAAGAACCUUACCUGGGCUUGACAUGCACGGGAAAGCCCCUGGAAACAGGGGCCCUCCACGGGGAAACUCGUGGACUCGUGCACACCGGUUGCAUGGCUGUCGUCAGCUCGUGCCGCGAGGUGUUGGGUUAAGUCCCGCAACGAGCGCAACCCCUGUCCUCUGUUGCCAGCGGGUCAUGCCGGGCACUCGGAGGAGACUGCCGUGGUCAACACGGAGGAAGGUGGGGAUGACGUCAAGUCAGCAUGGCGGUUACGUCCAGGGCUUCACACAUGCUACAAUGGGCGGUACAAAGGGCAGCGAACGCGCGAGCGGGAGCGAAUCCCAAAAAACCGCCCUCAGUUGGGAUCGCAGUCUGCAACUCGACUGCGUGAACGCGGAAUCGCUAGUAACGGCGGGUCAGCCAUACCGCCGUGAAUACGUUCCCGGGCCUUGUACACACCGCCCGUCAAGUCACCCGAGUCGGCUGCACCCGAAGUCGGUCGCCUAACCCGCAAGGGAGGGAGCCGCCGAAGGUGUGGCUGGUAAGGGGGACUAAGUCGUAACAAGGUAACCGU
rnacentral:rRNA from 1 species